UCGACGAUGAAUCUUCUAGCUUGCUAGAAGUGGAUUAGUGGCGCACGGGUGAGUAAUGCAUAGGUUAUGUGCCCUUUAGUCUGGGAUAGCCACUGGAAACGGUGAUUAAUACUGGAUACUCCCUACGGGGGAAAGUUUUUCGCUAAAGGAUCAGCCUAUGUCCUAUCAGCUUGUUGGUGAGGUAAUGGCUCACCAAGGCUAUGACGGGUAUCCGGCCUGAGAGGGUGAUCGGACACACUGGAACUGAGACACGGUCCAGACUCCUACGGGAGGCAGCAGUAGGGAAUAUUGCUCAAUGGGGGAAACCCUGAAGCAGCAACGCCGCGUGGAGGAUGAAGGUUUUAGGAUUGUAAACUCCUUUUGUUAGAGAAGAUUAUGACGGUAUCUAACGAAUAAGCACCGGCUAACUCCGUGCCAGCAGCCGCGGUAAUACGGAGGGUGCAAGCGUUACUCGGAAUCACUGGGCGUAGAGAGUGCGUAGGCGGGGUAAUAAGUCAGAUGUGAAAUCCUGUAGCUUAACUACAGAACUGCAUUUGAAACUGUUACUCUGGAGUGUGGGAGAGGUAGGUGGAAUUCUUGGUGUAGGGGUAAAAUCCGUAGAGAUCAAGAGGAAUACUCAUUGCGAAGGCGACCUGCUGGAACAUUACUGACGCUGAUGCACGAAAGCGUGGGGAGCAAACAGGAUUAGAUACCCUGGUAGUCCACGCCCUAAACGAUGGAUGCUAGUUGUUGCCUUGCUUGUCAGGGCAGUAAUGCAGCUAACGCAUUAAGCAUCCCGCCUGGGGAGUACGGUCGCAAGAUUAAAACUCAAAGGAAUAGACGGGGACCCGCACAAGCGGUGGAGCAUGUGGUUUAAUUC
rnacentral:rRNA from 1 species